ACGGUCCUAAGGUAGCGAAAUUCCUUGUCAGGUAAGUUCUGACCCGCACGAAAGGUGUAAUGAUUUGGGCACUGUCUCGGCAGCAGACUCGGUGAAAUCUUAGUACCUGUGAAGAUGCAGGUUACCCGCAACUAGACGGAAAGACCCCAUGGAGCUUUACUGUAGUCUGCUAUUGAGUUUCGGUUAAGUAUGCACAGGAUAGGUGGGAGACGAUGAGACUGGUCUUUCGGGAUCAGAGGAGUCACUGUUGGGAUACCACUCUUACUUAAUUGAAAUUCUAACUCUAAGCCGUGAUCCGGCUAGAGGACCGUGGCAGAUGGGCAGUUUGACUGGGGCGGUCGCCUCCCAAAGAGUAACGGAGGCGCACAAAGGUACUCUCAGAAUGGUUGGAAAUCAUUCAACGAGCGCAAACGCAGAAGAGUGCUUGACUGCGAGACAAACAAGUCGAGCAGGGACGAAAGUCGGUGUUAGUGAUCCGGCGGUGCAGAAUGGAAUGGCCGUCGCUUAACGGAUAAAAGCUACCCUGGGGAUAACAGGCUGAUCUCGCCCAAGAGUUCACAUCGACGGCGAGGUUUGGCACCUCGAUGUCGGCUCAUCGCAUCCUGGGGCUGAAGUAGGUCCCAAGGGUUGGGCUGUUCGCCCAUUAAAGCGGUACGCGAGCUGGGUUCAGAACGUCGUGAGACAGUUCGGUCCCUAUCUGUUGUGGGCGUUGGAAAUUUGAGGAGAGCUGCCCCUAGUACGAGAGGACCAGGGUGGACGUUCCUACGGUGCACCAGUUGUCACGCCAGUGGCAUAGCUGGAUAGCUGAGAACGGACCGGAUAAACGCUGAAGGCAUCUAAGCGUGAAACCGACUCCAAGAUUAGAUUUCCCAUCAUUUCAAAUGAAUAAGACCCCUUGAAGACGACGAGGUUGAUAGGUCAGAGAUGUAAGUGUAGCGAUACAUUCAGUUGACUGAUACUAAUAGGUCGAAGAUUUAUUCAC
rnacentral:rRNA from 1 species